rnacentral:rRNA from 1 species
CUAUGCGCCUUGCCAGCCGCUCAGGUGUGCCAGCCGCCGCGGUAAUACGUAGGGAGCGAGCGUUAUCCGGAAUUAUUGGGCGUAAAGGGUGCGUAGAUGGCAUAGUAAGUCUUUUGUAAAAAUGCUGGGCUCAACCCAGUAGGGCAAAAGAUACUGCAAAGCUAGAGUAUGACAGAGGCAAGUGGAACUACAUGUGUAGCGGUAAAAUGCGUAAAUAUAUGUAAGAACACCAGUGGCGAAGGCGGCUUGCUGGGUCGAUACUGACAUUGAGGCACGAAAGCGUGGGGAGCAAACAGG